AUCAAACAUUUUAUUUGAUUCACAUACAGGUGUCAUUUGUAAUUCUGGGUGCUGUAUAUAUGUUCAGAACUUUUGUGAAACAGCACAGUUGAAAAAUAAAUGGCAAAUAGAAACUGGAUGGUCUUCAGAGAUAGAUGGGAGGGGUUGAGGGUAGCUGAAGGAUGGGACUAAAAACAAACAAAAGAUAACUAAAUAAAAUAUACUGCGUCUGUAAAAUGUAUAUACUGUAGUAUGUACAGGGCCUUCGGAAAGUAUUCAGACCCCUUGACUUUUUACACAUUUUGUUACGUUUACAGACAUUCUACAAUGGAUUACAUUUAUUUUUUCCCCCUCAUCAAUUCACACACAAUACCCGAUAAUGACAUCACAAUACCCUAUAAUGACAUCACAAUACCCCACAAUGACAUCACAUUACCCGAUAAUGACAUCACAAUACCCCAUAAUGACAAAGCAAAAAUGUGUUUUUUUUAGAAAUGUUUGCAAAUUUACUACAAAUAAAAACUUAAAUAUCACAUUUACAUAAAUAUUCAGACCCUUUACUCAGUAAUUUGUUGGAAGCACCUUUGGCAGAGAUUACAGCCUUGAGUCUUCUUGGGUGUGAUGCUACAAGCUUGGCACACCUGUAUUUGGGGAGUUUCUCCCAUUCUUCUCUGCAGAUCCUCUCAAGCACUGUCAGGUUGGAUGGGGAGUGUCGCUGAACAUUUAUUUUCAGGUCUUUCCAGAGAUGUUCGAUUGGGUUCAAGGCUCUGGCUGGGCCACUCAAGGACAUUCAGAGACUUGCCCCGAAGCCACUCCUGCAUUGUUUUGGCUGUGUGCUUAGGGGCGUUGUCCUGUUGGAAGGUGAACCUUUGCCCCAGUCUGAGAUCCUGAGCUCUCUGGAGCAGGUUUUCAUCAAUAAUCUCUCUUUACUUUGCUCCGUUUAAAUAAUAAAAAUAAAAAUAAAACAAGGCUGUAACGUAACAAAAUGUGGAAAAAGUCAAGGGACCUGAAUACUUUCUGAAUGUGCUGUAUAAGCUGGAAGUAGAAGCCUCAGUGUUGUUGUCCACUAAUUGGGCGGGGUGGUGGUAGGGUUAGGGGGGAAAAUAACAAAGGAAAACAUAUUUUAAAAAAUAUAUAUAUAUUUUAUAUAUACAUUAACCCCCCCCCCCCAAAAAAAAAAAUAUAUAUAUGGGGGGGGAUUAGAAAUGAUGCAGGCAAUUACAUUAUGGAAGCUACAACCUGAAAUAUUAAUAUUAAUUAAUAUUAAUAUCUGAAAUAUUAAUAUUAAUUAAUAUUAAUAUCUGAAAUAUUAAUAUUAAUUAAUAUUAAUCUCUGAAAUAUUAAAGCUGAUUCAGUGUUUCCUUGUACAUGUAUCUUUGAAGGCCGUUGGAUGUUUCUAAGACAAUCUAGAAUGCUUUUUCUGCUGGUAGUUAUUUGGUCUUAUUUAGUUUUAAACAAACGUCUGAUAGUCUGGUUGAACAUGGUAUUUAUCUCCCCGUAGAGAUGUUACAUAAUCUACACAAUUAUAACAAGCUAAUAUGUCUAUGGCUUGUGUCCCAAAUGAUAUCCGAGUCCCUGUGUAGUGCCGUAAUGUUGACCGGAGAACUACGGGGCCCUGGUCAGAUGUCAUUUGGGACGCAGCCCAUGUUAGUAACGCAAACAUGCAAGUUACGCAGAUUACAGCAGUGUAUCAGUACACAGUAUAUAAACUCACACAAGGUAUUUCAGUACCUCCCGUAGCUUAGUCUCAAAGUUACAUAUGAGUUUUUAAAAGGGAACUAGAAGUUUCCGCAGUCAACCCGAGCUUUAGUAGGAUCAAUUUGUCAAGAUAUAUACCGUGUCAUGCUUAUAGAUGCGGUCCAGUCAAAUAUUCACCCUUGCAUGAUUUACAAUUUCUUCUAAAACAAGUUGAACUUGAAAAUAAUUGUUGGUGUUUAUACAUGCAUUGUUUGAUUUACCUAUGAUCAAUAAUGAAAUGGAGAUUUUUUUUCAAUAAAAAGUUCAAAAAUGACCUGAACUAAAUUUAUAUAAAUGAAUUUGGUUGGAGGCAGUCAUUCUGGUUAAAUGUAAUGUUUCUCACCUGUAGUAAGUAGCAGGAGACUACAGAGUAUGAAUAGUCAUUCAACCAGUUUUGAAAAUAAGAAACGGAACAUUCUGCUCCAUUGUAAAGUGCAAGGGUGCUAAUAUAUUUGACAGCAUCUGUAACAAUAAUAAUAUCGGCACUAACGAAGCCUGGUGUGGAAUACGUUAUUUCCUGUUAUCAGAGUGAAAUAAAUGGACGACUCUGAGGGUAGUCCUGGUUAGGGUUUCUGAGGGGAUCCAUGGUCCUGGUUAGAGUUUCUGAGGGGAUCCAUGGUCCUGGUUAGGGUUUCUGAGGGUAGUCCUGGUUAGAGUUUCUGAGGGGAUCCAUGGUCCUGGUUAGGGUUUCUGAGGGGAUCCAUGGUCCUGGUUAGAGUUUCUGAGGGGAUCCAUGGUCCUGGUUAGGGUUUCUGAGGAGAUCCAUGGUCCUGGUUAGAGUUUCUGAGGGGAUCCAUGGUCCUGGUUAGAGUUUCUGAGGGGAUCCAUGGUCCUGGUUAGGGUUUCUGAGGGUAGUCCUGGUUAGAGUUUCUGAGGGGAUCCAUGGUCCUGGUUAGGGUUUCUGAGGGGAUCCAUGGUCCUGGUUAGGGUUUCUGAGGGGAUCCAUGGUCCUGGUUAGGGUUUCUGAGGGGAUCCAUGGUCCUGGUUAGAGUUUCUGAGGGGAUCCAUGGUCCUGGUUAGAGUUUCUGAGGGGAUCCAUGGUCCUGGUUAGAGUUUCUGAGGGGAUCCAUGGUCCUGGUUAGAGUUUCUGAGGGGAUCCAUGGUCCUGGUUAGAGUUUCUGAGGGGAUCCAUGGUCCUGGAUAGAGUUUCUGAGGGGAUCCAUACUCCUGGUUUGGUUUUCAAAAUUCCAAUAAUUUUCCAAAAGUUCCAGUAACUUUGCCAAAAUUACCAGUUUUUCCCAAAAUUCUGGUAAGUGGAUUCCGAAUGACCUGAUUAUUCCUGCCUGAUUAGGGGAUUCCAACCAGGGUUUGGGGAAAAUUACCAGAAUUUUGCCUAGUGAACAGUAAUCUGGUUUAAACUAAACGUGGCUUUGGUGAGUUAAGAGUGAACAUAACUAGUACAUUUUUAAACAUGGAAAUUAAUUUUGUAAAGUCCUGGCAUUCAUAACUUGAGACAUUAUUGGUUAAGACAUGUGUUGGAAUAUAAUAGAUACAAUAGGUACAUAAUAUGGUUUCUAUUGAAUACGUAUAUAAUUACAGGUCACAGCAUGUAGUUCUGGUAUGUGUUCUACAGGAAGAAAAUAUAAACUUUAUAUUAAGGGACACCAUCCCUCCAUUUCAAGUCUGUUUAUAAAGCCACUUCCAACGCAGCGGUUAGUCAUUAGUGGUUAGCCAGUCUCACUGUAUCUCUGGAUGAGCACAGAUCAACCCCAGGGGUGCGUUCAACCAGGCAAACAGUUUGUGAUUGUUAGCUAACAGAAGCUAACACAUUCUAUAUGAUUUGUGUAAGCAACAAAAAUUAGCUAGCAGUCUGAAAAGAUGUGGAGUGAUUGGAGCACAUAUCCACACCAGGAGUCGUAGAGGAUCACAGAGCCACACCAGGAGUCAUAGAGGAGCACCGAUCUACACCAGGAGUAGUAGAGGAGCACAGAUCCACACUAGGAGUCGUAGAGGAGCACAGAUCUACAUCAGGAGUAGUAGAGGAGCACAAAUCCACACCAGGAGUAGUAGAGGAGCACAGAGCCACAUCAGGAGUCAUAGAGGAGCACAGAGCCACACCAGGAGUCAUAGAGGAGCACAGAUCUACACCAGGAGUCGUAGAGGAUCACAGAGCCACACCAGGAGUCGUAGAGGAGUCGUAGAGGAGCACAGAUCCACACCUGGAGUAGUAGAGGAGCACAGAUCCACACCAGGAGUAGUAGAGGAUCACAGAGCCACACCAGGAGUCGUAGAGGAGUCGUAGAGGAGCACAGAUCCACACCAGGAGUAGUAGAGGAGCACAGAGCCACACCAGGAGUAGUAGAGGAGCACAGACCAACACCAGGAGUCAUAGAGGAGCACAGAUCUACACCAACAAGAGGAGUAAAGGAAACAGAGGAACAAAGUCUUUGUGCUUAUGUAUCCUGGUAAAACCUCUGAGCUUGCAGUCCAUCCACUCAGAUUAAUAUUCCGUGUAUAGGGUCUUUCAGCUCCAAUAUGCCAGAGUUCUUCCCUGGAUCUGACAUUCCUGGUCAGACAAAUGACCUUUAAGUCCAAGAUGUCUCUCCCUUUCCCCCAGCUAACCAGUCCUCCUUCUGUAGCUCAGUUGGUAGAGCAUGGCGCUUGUAACGCCAGGGUAGUGGGUUCGACUCCCGGGACCACCCAUACGUAGAAUGUAUGCACACAUGACUGUAAGUCGCUUUGGAUAAAAGCGUCUGCUAAAUGGCAUAUAUUAUUAUUAUUAUAUUAUAGCUUGUUGGGGUUGUGGACCCAAAAAAAAAAAAGUAGUAGUUGUCAUUACAUUAAAGUAGUAGUUGUCAUUACGUCAGCUGGCUAUAGGUCGGUUACAGGAAAUGCUCACUACCACAUAUCUGGUGGAAAUAUAUACGCUGGUCUGCUAUAUAUUAGACAUCUUUGUUUUUCAGGUUUCUUUCUGGAGGUAUACAAUUCCUCUAGCAGAUAUCAUCAGCUGCAUAACAAGGCAUUCAGUCCAGCAACAGGUGCUAUAUGAAAAAUCCAUUAUAUAUCAGAAGAAAUGUGUGUACACUGUUCCGCUACAUAUCAUUAAAAAGCCAAGGGUUUCCAGUUGUCUCUCUGUAGUUAUGUUGUUCCGUUGACUGAUAGUCUGUAGUUGAACUGUAGUUGUUGCUGUAGCAGGUAUCAGUCUGUAGUUGUUGCUGUAGCAGGUAUCAGUCUGUAGUUGUUGCUGUAGCAGGUAUCAGUCUGUAGUUGUUGCUGUAGCAAGUAUCAGUCUGUAGGUGAACUGUAGUUGUUGCUGUAGCAGGUACCAGUCUGUAGGUGAACUGUAGUUGUUGCUGUAGCAGGUACCAGUCUGUAGUUGUUGCUGUAGCAAGUAUCAGUCUGUAGGUGAACUGUAGUUGUUGCUGUAGCAGGUACCAGUCUGUAGUUGAUCUGUAGUUGUUGCUCUAUCCACUAUCAGUCUGAAUUUGAACUGCAAUUCUUCCUGCAGCAGGUAUCAGUCUGUUGUUUUUUCUGUAUCAGGUAUCAGUUGGUAGUUGUUGAUGUAUCAGGUAUCAGUCUGUAGUUGUUGCUUUUAUCAGGUAUCAGUCUGUAGUUGUUGCUGUAACAGGUAUCAGUCUGUAGUUUAACUGUAGUUGUUUCUGUAUCAGGUAUCAGUCUGUAGUUGAACUGUAGUUGUUGCUGUAACAGGUAUCAGUCUGUAGUUUAACUGUAGUUGUUUCUGUAUCAGGUAUCAGUUUGUAGUUGAACUGUAGUUGUUGCUGUAGCAGGUAUCAGUCUGUAGUUGUUGCUGUAACAGGUAUCAGUCUGAAUUUGAACUGUAGUUAUUUCUGUAUCAGGUAUCAGUCUGUAGUUGUUGCUGCAGCAGGUAUCAGUCUGUAGUUGUUUCUGCAGCAGGUAUCAGUCUGUAGUUGGACUGUAGUUGUUGCUGUAGCAGGUAUCAGUCUGUAGUUGUUGCUGUAGCAGGUAUCAGUCUGUAGUUGUUGCUGCAGCAGGUAUCAGUCUGUAGUUGUUGCUGCAGCAGGUAUCAGUCUGUAGUUGUUGCUGCAGCAGGUAUCAGUCUGUAGUUGGACUGUAGUUGUUGCUGUAGCAGGUAUCAGUCUGUAGUUGUUGCUGUAGCAGGUAUCAGUCUGUAGUUGUUGCUGGAGCAGGUAUCAGUCUCUAGUUGUUGCUGUAACAUGUAUCAGUCUGUAGCUGUUGCUGUAGCAGGUUUCAGUCUGUAGUUGAACUCUAGUUGUUGCUGUAGCAGGUAUCAGUCUGUAGUUGUUGCUGUAACAGGUAUCAGUUUGUAGUUGUUGCUGUAGCAGGUAUCAGUCUGUAGUUGUUGCUGUAGCAGGUAUCAGUCUGUAGUUGUUGCUGUAGCAGGUAUCAGUCUGUAGUUGUUGCUGUAGCAGGUAUCAGUCUGUAGUUGUUGCUGUAGCAGGUAUCAGUCUGUAGUUGUUGCUGUAGCAGGUAUCAGUCUGUAGUUGUUGCUAUAGCAGGUAUCAGUCUGUAGUUGUUGCUGUAGCAGGUAUCAGUCUGUAGUUGUUGCUAUAGCAGGUAUCAGUCUGUAGUUGUUGCUGUAGCAGGUAUCAGUCUGUAGUUGUUGCUAUAGCAGGUAUCAGUCUGUAGUUGUUGCUGUAGCAGGUAUCAGUCUGUAGUUGUUGCUAUAGCAGGUAUCAGUCUGUAGUUGUUUCUGUAGCAGGUAUCAGUCUGUAGUUGUUGCUGUAGCAGGUAUCAGUCUGUAGUUGUUGCUGUAGCAGGUAUCAGUCUGUAGUUGUUGCUAUAGCAGGUAUCAGUCUGUAGUUGUUUCUGUAGCAGGUAUCAGUCUGUAGUUGUUUCUGUAGCAGGUAUCAGUCUGUAGUUGUUUCUGUAGCAGGUAUCAGUCUGUAGUUGUUGCUGUAGCAGGUAUCAGUCUGUAGUUGUUGCUAUAGCAGGUAUCAGUCUGUAGUUGUUUCUGUAGCAGGUAUCAGUCUGUAGUUGUUGCUGUAGCAGGUUUCAGUCUGUAGUUGUUGCUGUAACAGGUAUCAGUCUGUAGUUGAACUGUAGUUGUUGCUGUAGCAGGUAUCAGUCUGUAGUUGUUGCUGUAGCAGGUAUCAGUAGU